UUGCCGCUGGUGAGAUUGUUGCUGUUGCUAGGAUUUGACAUACAUGCGGUAGAUGUGUUUGUGAAGGUAGUGUUAAAAUUUAUCCGGUAUGGUCACAAUAUGUUAUCAUAUUGUAUGUUGUGGAUUAGGGUGUUGUACAUCGGGUUGAAGGUUCCUCUCAACUCAACUUGUUAUUGGAUAUCUCUCUGAAUGAUUCACUUUGCUUUAUGUUGGAGGCUUUGAUCGA